rnacentral:rRNA from 1 species
GGAAUCUUCCACAAUGGGCGCAAGCCUGAUGGAGCAACACCGCGUGAGUGAAGAGGGGUUUCGGCUCGUAAAGCUCUGUUGUUAAAGAAGAACACGUAUGAGAGUAACUGUUCAUACGUUGACGGUAUUUAACCAGAAAGUCACGGCUAACUACGUGCCAG